ensembl:lncRNA
GACAACAACCAAAUCAGCAAAAUCAACAAUUAAACCAACAUCAAAAAUAACAAACAUGUGGACAAGAAAAGAUGAAAUAAAAACAUCAGCAGGGACACUGACAACAGCAUCAAAUAUUCCAUCUGGAGAUUUUCUGUAUUUGCUGAGAUGCAUCAUUGUGUCUGUGGGUUUAGCAGCUCUCAUAAUAUCUCCUGUUACAGUCAACAUGUGGAUAAAAUGUAACGGAAGCAAAACACAGAUGGAAAAAACCACUGAGCUUAAUGAUGAGGGUGAAGAUGGAGUGAACUAUGAAAAUAUUGGAGACUCUUCUGCUUCUGUCAGACUCCACUGAUCAACAACUCAAACAUCAUCUCAUCACAUAAAUUAGCCCAUUGCUGUUGAAAACACUGUGUGUGUGUGUGUGACUGGGUCUAAGUCUGAGACUUGCUGAGCCUUGACACCUGUGGGACAUGAUUAUAGAAGGUGAGGGUUUCUCCUCCCUACCACUCCCUUCCUGUCAUUGCCCAUGAGAACAGUCCUGAGCUCAUGCUGGGAUGGUUCUGGCUCUUAAACGUUCACCAUGGGAGCUCUUUCUGGGCCUCCCUUGUCAUUCUUUUCUCCUUCUACUUGUGUCAGUACACGGUUGUCAUCUGGACGUGUGGGCUUGUGUCUGCAGGACUCUUGGGGUGGAGGGUCCAACUAAACUGUGUGUUUCUCUUUCACAUACACACACACAUGCAAGAUUGUGCAUUUUUCUGAGGUGCUGUUUGUUUUUUGUAUAUGUUUUUCUUACAGGUGCAACAGGUGGUGAUCUGUUGAGUUGAACUAUGUGUGCUGUGUCCUUUUGAUUUUGUCUUCUCUCAGUUUUUCUCUGUUUUUCUUUUUUCCCUUUCUCCUCUCUACCCAUUCUUACCUCUCCCUACCUGUCAGCUCUGGUAUUGAUCAAUU